rnacentral:tRNA from 1 species
GCCGGUGUAGCUCAAGCGGUAGAGCAACCGCCUUGUAAGCGGUCGGUUGGGGGUUCGAGUCCCUUCGCCGGCA